rnacentral:tRNA from 1 species
GGGCCGGUAGUUCAGUUGGGAGAACGCCACAAUGGCAUUGUGGAGGUCACGGGUUCAACUCCCGUCCGGUCCA